GACGAACCGUGCGAACGUUGUUCGGAUUCACUGGGCUUAAAGGGCGCGUAGGCGGGUCGGUAAGUCCGGGGUGAAAGCCCCCAGCUCAACUGGGGAAGUGCCUCGGAUACUGCCGGCCUCGAGGGGGGUAGGGGCGGGCGGAACUUCCGGUGGAGCGGUGAAAUGCGUAGAUAUCGGAAGGAACGCCGGUGGCGAAAGCGGCCCGCUGGACCCUCUCUGACGCUGAGGCGCGAAAGCCAGGGGAGCAAACGGG
rnacentral:rRNA from 1 species